UGAGUUGCGAACGGGUGAGUAACGCGUAGGUAACCUGCCUGGUAGCGGGGGAUAACUAUUGGAAACGAUAGCUAAUACCGCAUGAAAUUGCUUAUCGCAUGAUAAUUAAUUGAAAGAUGCAAUUGCAUCACUACCAGAUGGACCUGCGUUGUAUUAGCUAGUUGGUGAGGUAACGGCUCACCAAGGCGACGAUACAUAGCCGACCUGAGAGGGUGAUCGGCCACACUGGGACUGAGACACGGCCCAG
rnacentral:rRNA from 1 species